UACAGAGGUCUCAAGCGUUGUUCGGAUUCAUUGGGCGUAAAGGGUGCGUAGGCGGCCCCGUAAGUCCGCUGUGAAAGUCAAAGGCUCAACCUUUGAAAGCCGGUGGAUACUGUGGGGCUAGAGUCCGGAAGAGGCGAGUGGAAUUCCUGGUGUAGCGGUGGAAUGCGCAGAUAUCAGGAGGAACACCAAUAGCGAAGGCGACACUCUGGGCCGGUACUGACGCUGAGGAGCGAAAGCGUGGGGAGCAAACAGG
rnacentral:rRNA from 1 species